UACGGAGGGUGCGAGCGUUGUUCGGAAUUACUGGGCGUAAAGCGCGCGUAGGCGGCUUUGUAAGUUAGAGGUGAAAGCCCGGAGCUCAACUCCGGAACUGCCUUUAAAACUGCAUCGCUUGAAUCCAGGAGAGGUGAGUGGAAUUCCGAGUGUAGAGGUGAAAUUCGUAGAUAUUCGGAAGAACACCAGUGGCGAAGGCGGCUCACUGGACUGGUAUUGACGCUGAGGUGCGAAAGCGUGGGGAGCAAACAGG
rnacentral:rRNA from 1 species